rnacentral:rRNA from 1 species
AACGAACGCUGGCGGCAUGCCUAACACAUGCAAGUCGAACGAGACCUUCGGGUCUAGUGGCGCACGGGUGCGUAACGCGUGGGAACCUGCCCUUAGGUUCGGAAUAACUCCCCGAAAGGGGUGCUAAUACCGGAUAAUGUCUUCGGACCAAAGAUUUAUCGCCUUUGGAUGGGCCCGCGUUGGAUUAGCUAGUUGGUAGGGUAAAAGCCUACCAAGGCGACGAUCCAUAGCUGGUCUGAGAGGAUGAUCAGCCACACUGGGUCUGAGACACGGCCCAGACUCCUACGGGAGGCAGCAGUGGGGAAUAUUGGACAAGGGGCGAAAGCCUGAUCCAGCAAUGCCGCGUGAGUGAUGAAGGCCUUAGGGUUGUAAAGCUCUUUUACCCGGGAUGAUAAUGACAGUACCGGGAGAAUAAGCUCCGGCUAACUCCGUG